rnacentral:lncRNA from 1 species
GGUGUAUCAGACAGUACUUCUUGCCCAUCGACAUUCCUUGAGAACAGGAAGUUUAGAUGAAUCAGUAACUCCCAACACAUCACCAGCUCAAUGGCCAGGAAUCAAUUGUCUAAUUCAACUUUUGAAUUCUUCUGGUGAAGAAGCUCAGUCAGGACUUACAGUGUUGCUUUGUGAAAUUCUCACAGCAGUGUAUCUUAGUCUGUUCAUUCAUGGGCUAGCAACACACUCUAGUAAUGAGCUAUUUCGGAUUGUAGCCCACCCUCUAAAUGAAAAAAUGUGGUCUGCAGUAUUCGGUGGAGGAGCACAUGUUCCCAGCAAAGUACAGACAACCUCAAAAGCUUUAUCUGUUGAAGGAGAAAAACAAAACAAACAUAUUAGUCCAUCAAAAGUGUCUGGCAGAGAAUCUUCUCCUGUAUCCUCUUCCUCUGUAAAUCAGGAGCCACUUGCAGUCAAGGAGAAGUUCAUUCCACCUGAACUAAGUAUCUGGGAUUACUUCGUAGCCAAGCCUUUUCUACUGCCUUCCCAAAGUAGAGCAGAGUAUGAUUCUGAGGAGAGUCUAGAAAGUGAUGAUGAUAAUGAUGAUGAUGAUGAUGAUGAUGAUGACGACGACAACGAUGAUGAUACUUUGCCUUCUGAUCUCCAACUCCAUGAGCAUUCAAAUUCAAAUUCAUUCAGUUGGUCAUUGAUGAGAUUGGCUAUGGUCCAGUUGGUGCUCAACAAUUUGAAGACUUUCUAUCCCUUUGCAGGUCAUGAUCUUGCAGAACUACCAGUUAGUUCACCUCUUUGUCAUGCGGUUCUAAAAACUCUUCAGUGCUGGGAACAAGUUCUUCUCCGGCGACUUGAAAUUCAUGGUGGACCACCUCAAAACUAUAUUUCAAGUCACA